rnacentral:lncRNA from 1 species
AUGCCUACCCACUUCAGUAUUCUUGCCUGGAGAAUUCCAUGGACAGAGGAGCCUGGCGGGCUACAGUCCAUGGGAUUGCAAGAGUUGGACAAGACCAAGCGACUAACACUUGCACUUUCUGAGAAGGUCACAGAAUCUAUACAAAAGGGUAAUGGUUCACUUAACAAGAAAUGGAUUCAUUCUAGGAAUAUCACCUCUUAAAGAUAUUGUUUGCCGCUAUGUGAGCAGAUUCUCAGAGGGCUCUAACUGGGAUUGUGAAGCUGAGAUAUUCCAGAGGUGUCAUUCUCACUAGAAUCCAACAGUGGCCACCUAUUUCCACUUGGAGAUGAGUGUGAAGUGUGCUGUGACUUCAGGGACAUCAGGUCCUUGGUCCCAGGAGGUAAGCAGUUAGUGAUUUUCUCCCAAGAAGCAUAGACUGUUUCAAGAAACACAGCAUUUAUAAAAUAUGUGCUUGCCUUUGUCCUGACAAGUCCUUGUUUAAGUUAUCGUUUACAGAAAGACAUUAAAUCCCGGUUAUAAUCUUAUAUGUUUACAUGAAUCUGUAGCAUUAUCAUAAAAUCAUUUAUACAUUUCAUAACUGGAGAAAAUUUAGAAAAUUAAGAAAAUUUAGAAAAUUUAAGCCAGAUUAAAUAAUUCACUAAAAGAUCAUCUGGGUGAAAUCUAAUACAUUCUACUACUUGAAAAUAUGUAUAAUAAAAUUCCAUCCCACGCAAAUUGUUUGCUACA